rnacentral:misc_RNA from 2 species
AUUAUUAUUUAGUUUUAUAACAUGCCUCAUGAUUUAAAAGUUCUGAGUAAACGACAUUUGCGUCGCAAAACAGCUAUAAAUACUCGUAAAGUAUUACUGAGUAUUGCAGGCAAUAAUUGUGCACUCGAGCACCUUACGAAAUCACAAUUAAAAGAUGCUAGUCAUGAACAUGUGUCUUGUAUCGGAGAAUAUGUGCACUCUAUAGAUAGCGAUUAUGAUGUUGAUCAUAUCCAUCAAAGUAAUGAACAGAAUGAAGAAAACUCUAAUUCGAACCGCGAUAAUAAAGAUUUCAAAGACAUCGAAAGUGACAUAGAUAGCAUCAAAGCUACGUUGUACAGUUCUGAAGAUAAUUCAAGUUCCGUCAGCGAUGAAGUGCAUUUAGAUGAUGAAACGAACUUUGUUGAAAAUUUGCGCGACUGGGCAUCUUCAAAUAACAUCACACAUAACGCGAUCGAUCAAUUGCUAGCAUUAUUGAAACCAGCACAUCCUAUCUUACCCUUAAGUGCUAGGACUCUACUUCACACGUCACGACGUAUUGAAACGUUAAAUUUAGACAACGGAGAAAUGUGUUAUUUCGGUUUGGAGAAAUGCUUGAGACAAAAACUCGAGUCAGGUCUCAAAAAAGGACUGUCACCUGAACAUACGUUGCGAGUUGAUUUUAAUAUUGAUGGGAUUCCCGUUUAUAAAAGUAGCGGAACAUCAUUUUGGCCAAUUUUGGGACGCAGUAUUUCAAUGAUCGAUGAUAGCCCAUUUGUAAUUGGUGUUUAUUAUGGUACGGGUAAACCGAUGCCACUAUCUUCAUAUUUACGAGAUUUAAUUAAAGAAACGUCACGUUUAAGCACCAAUGGUUUUGAGUUUAAUGGCACCAAAUACUUUGUCAGAGUUGGUUUAUUCGCGUGUGACGCGCCCGCGAGAUCUAUGUUGAAAAUGUGUUUAGGACAUUCGGGUAAGGAUGCUUGCGAGAGGUGUAAGAUUCGCGCAGUUCAUCUCAACCGUAAACUGUGUUAUCCAUGUGACACCGAAUUCCAGAAGCGAAAAGAUAGUGAUUUUGUUGCACCUAGUGAAAACGAUCGUCACGUUAAAGGACGUUCGCCUCUUUUAGAUCUUUACGUGGGACUAGUCUCCCAAUUUCCUUUAGAUCCCAUGCAUUUAAUCUACCUGGGAAUUUUGAAGAGGUUGCUCCUUAAAUACUGGGUCGAGGGUUCACGUGAUUGCAAAUUGUCUAAGGAUAUUUUGUUAGAAAUUGAACGUAUAAUGAAACUAUUGGCGCGAUAUGUUCCGGCAGAGUUUCCUCGAAAGCCCCGUGGAUUUUUGGAUUUGCAUCGAUGGAAAGCGACAGAAUUUAGAUUUUUCUUGUUAUAUUCCGGCCCUGUUGUAAUGCGGGAUGUGCUAGAUCGAAAAAAGUACAAACAUUUUUUAUUAUUGUCUGCCGCCGUGUAUAUUCUAUCGAAUACAGCCUUGUUCUCGCGUUUUCGAAACAUCGCGCAAGAUAUGAUCGAAAAAUUCGUUACUCAAGGUGCUAAGAUAUACGGACAAAACUUUGUCGUAUAUAAUGUACAUUCGCUGCUGCAUGUCAUAGACGACGUAGAACGAUUUGGCCCAUUAGAAGAAUACAGUUGCUUUGUGUAUGAAAAUCAUUUGGGCCAUUUGAAACGACUUAUUCGAUCGAAACGCUUGCCGCUGCAGCAGCUGAGUAAUCGACUUGAAGAACUAAGUUCUAUUCGUAAAACUAAUUGUCAGGAAAAAUUUAUUCCUAAACCCAAAUUUAUUGGAAAUUCUCGUGAAUGUCAGGCUCUGGAAACGAAAAAAUUCAAAAUAUCAAUAAAAAGGCCGGAUAAUGUAGUAGCUUGUGGGACAGAAAUAUUAGUGAUCAAAUCAAUCCUUUUCAUUGCCGGAGAAUAUAGAAUUAUAGGUACUCCGUUCAAGUACAAGCGAGACCUUUAUCAGAAACCUAUUAAAUCUUCCAAACUAGGGAUUUUUUUCGUAAGAAGUUUCAACGUAGCGAAAUCUUAUCGCGUCGAUGAUAUAUUACAUAAAUUCGUCUGUCUUCCAUUUAAAGAUGGUUUCGCAGUAACUCCGAUACUACACGAAAUGAAAUAAAAUUUUUAUUUUUUGUUAAACAUCUCAACGAAACGAGCUCUCGACAAAAAACAGAUGAUGAACCUACGAUUCUCGGCAAUGUGUACGAGGAAGAGGGAUUCGUUCAAGACAUGUAUAGUAUGUCUAUGUCUACCUCGCACACAUUCCCGAGAAUCGUAGGUUCAUUAUCUCUUUUAUAUUAAAAGUUUGCUUCAAUUGAGAUGUUUAGCAAAAAAUAACAUUAUCGUAUACCUAUUACCAUAUACCGUAUAUGCCGAGUCUAAUUUACCUAGUAGUCCAAUAUACCCAACUCUACCAUAUGUUCAUAACAUCACUUUUGAGCUGAUUUAUUAUAGUUUUGUACGUCACAUUGACGUUCAAGUAUUGGUUAGACAUGCGUUCCCAAAAUCUUCAUAAUGUUUCAUGAUCGAUUCAUCUUUUAACUUAUAUACUACCUUGCAUAUUCCUAUGUUGAUGUCCUAAUUAAAAACUUUUAAACUGGCACUUUUUGCUCAGAGUGGAAUAAAAGUGCUUGAAUUUUGAUCAAAUAUAAAUUUAUACACCAGACUAGAGAAUAUGAUACAUUUAACGAUGUUUUUACUCAGUCGUGCUGCAGAACUAUGUAUGCGGUGAUUGAAUUCUUGGUUGGCGAAGAUAGAGAAUGCGCAUUGGUACCAGUUCUUUGGCUGGUCGAAAACAACACCCAAUGUUACUGGCCACGGACAAAAACUGAAGAUCAUUUUACAAAACUUGUAAAAUCAAAGGCUGCCUAUGAAAAAACAUGGCCAAAGUUUGCCAUUCACAAAGUACUGCAUACCGGAGAUGACUACCACGACACCGAAGCAACGAUGGCGCGCCUACUGGAGCUGGGCACGUCCGAUGAAUCCGGAAUAAUUCGCAACAUCGCUAAAAAAUCCACUGUAAUACCUCAGCAAGAUAUUACCAAUGACGUGGACGAGAAUGAAGCUACGAACAGUGAUGAUGUCGAACCUGAGCCGCAAAAGAAAAAACGUAAACACAAAACCGACAAGAAGAAGGCUAAAAAUCGACACGUUAGUAACAAAAAAAAAAAAACGAAGCGUUCUCGUGAAAGUUCAAGUAGUUUAGGUUACACCUCUUCAGCUGACGAGAAUUUGCCACCGUCCGAAGUCGAUGAAUCGACUUCUAACCGUAAUAAGAAUACUCGCUACAUUAACUCAGCCAAAGGAUCUACCAAAAAUCAGACACCAAAGAAAAACUUGGCCCACAAGAUCGUACAGCACCAGUAUAAUGAUAAUUCCCAUGAGUCACCGAAUCAGUUGUCUGGAUAUGAAACAUCAAAUAGAAACAUUUCUAGUAGGAUCAUCAGGUCUACCACGCAAUAUGACUUAUCAAGAUCCUUUUCACAACUUGAACCUUCAACCCCGACCACAUCACGCGAACAGAAUACCUUUGAAGAAAAAACUCUGCAGUAUUUAGAACACAUUAAAUCCUACACUGAACAAAACCAUCUGCUACUACGUAAAAUCUUCUCAAAACAGAAGGAAGUCAGCAUCGACGUAACAAAGAAACCAGCCGAAUUCCCAAAACUUCCUCUUAACUCCAUGGAAGACUUCUCCAACCUCGAAAAUAUCCUGAAAUCCGAAGAGCAUCGAACUUAUUUAUAUUUUGUUGCAGACCGGGAAACUGGCUUCUGUUGGAGGGACAAGCGGUCGCCAAUGUGUGUUGGCUAUAAUGAGGUCACUACUCACAAACGAAUUAGCGAUGCAAUUCAAUUGGGCAGGGAGGGACAAAGUCCCAUUUCAAAAGACAUUGACAAUGGAAACUGUUUACGAGGCUGUGAAACAAACCUUUCUUGGCAAGAAGGAAAUUGGUGAUGCAACCGAAACCAGUGUUUCGUGUGCCGUGAAAGACUGGUUAAAACUAGCUCGAUCACGGCAUACCUAUGUACGAAAGAAGGGCUAAGAAACUGUGGUAAACGUCAACUAAUUUUAAAAACAGUCAUAUAAAAGUACAAAUCAUACAGGCAUAUAAAUAUUUCUGAUAUAAGUGUAAUAUUCUUAGCGUUUUCUGUUAGUUGUAACUACCGUGAAGACGAAAGUAUAGUGUAGGUUGAGCUGUGUCUAUGAGCUACAAGAUGUACCUUUUUUUUUGAUAAAUGAGUAUUUAUAGAUAUAAGAUAUUUGUGUAACGUUCUAACAAAGAUAUAAUAAAAUCGAUUCACAUAUAUAAACUAAA